rnacentral:tRNA from 2 species
GCGGGCGUGGCGAAAUUGGUAGACGCGCUAGACUUAGGAUCUAGUGUCUUCGACAUGGGGGUUCGAGUCCCUCCGCCCGCA